rnacentral:lncRNA from 1 species
GUAACGGAAAGAAACAUGAUUUUCUUUUUUUACAUUUUAAAGUAUACAUUUUAUUUUAUUUUUAUUUUUAUUUAUUCAUUUUACAUACAGAUUAUGGCUUCCUCCCCUCCUCUUCUCCCAUUUCCUCUCUUUCAUAUCCCCUCCCCCAUAUCUCCACAGAAGAGGGGAGGGAAUCUUAUGGAUAUCGACCCACCUUGGCAUAUCAAGCUGCAGUAAGACUAGGCACAUCUCCUCCUACUGAGGCUAGACAAGGCAGCCCAAUUAGUGGACAGGGUCCAACAGCAGUCAGGUAACAGUCAGAGACAGCUCCUCCUCCGGCUGUUAGGAGUCCCACAUGAAGACAAAGCUGCACAACUGUUACACAGGUGCAGAAGGCCUAGGCUUGUCCCAGGCAUGCAUGCUCUCUGAUUGGCAGUAGUUUCUAAGGGCCAAGGUUAGUUGAUUUUUGUAGGUUUUCUUGUGGUUCCCCAAGCUCUCUCUAAUGUUUGGCUGUAGGUCUCUGCAUCUGAAGAAACAUGAUUUUUUUUUUAAAUGAGUGUUAGUAUAUGCCUUAUAAUUCAUUAAUGUCUCUGGUGCAAGGGCCAAAUAUCCAUUGUACUUACUUAAUUAUUGGCUUUAUUGGGAGAGCCUAGAAGGUAGUUAAGCACACUGGGUAGAUUUGUGAGAAUAGUUAAGAACAGUGUAUGUGUGGCUUGUUAUAUCUCAGGAACCAUCUGUCCUUGGGCAAGGGCCUUACAGUUCAGAGGCAGAGUUUUAUGGAUCAGUAAAUUAAAAUUUAAAAGAUAACUUUGGUUUUCACAUGUGGUAGCUUUUAAUUGUAUUCUCAGCACUUGGGAGGUGGAGGCAGGAAGAUCAAAAAUGAGAGAUCAUCUUCAACUACUACAAAAAGAAAAGAAAAAAGAAAUUGUUACAUAAAUAAACUGUUAGUUUUUCUUGUUUGUUUUGAGAUGCCUUGCUGGGUGGCUUUAAACUGAAGGUAUAAACCAGGGUGGCCUCUAGGUUGUGACAACAUAGCACUGCCUUCAAGUACUGGGGUUUCAGUAUUAUCAUUAUACCCAGCUCAAGGUAACAACUAUUAUACUCUUUAAAUUUUCAUUACAGUUGAGCAACGUAUAGACUUGAUAUUUCUUUUAUUUGAAAGCAUUCUGGGGUAUUAUGUAUGUUUAUAAAGCAAUAAUUACAAAGGCAAAGCAAAAAUCCUUUCAAAAAUUUUCUAAGACGAAACAUUCAGUGCUGGAUAGGAACUUUUUUUUGUUUGUUUGUUUUUGUUUUGUUUUUUUGAGACAGGGCUUCUCUGCGCAGUCCUGGCUGUCCUGGAACUCACUCUGUAGACCAGGCUGGUCUUGAACUGAGAAAUCCACCUGCCUCUGCCUCCCAAGUGCUGGAUUACAGGCGUGCGCCACCACUGCCCGGCCGAACUUAUUUUUAAAAGUUAGUUGUCAUAUAGUGUAAACCCUCCAUAAAUAAAAGCACCUGGGAAUUUCAAAAGCCUAAUAAAUAGUUGAGUAGCCUAACAGUUACUCAAGCUGUAAUUCUGGGAAUCUCCUCUUGUCUUUCUCCCUCUCUGUGUCUUUCUCCCUCUCCCAGUCUCUUUUUAGCUUAUGGUGUCUUAGAAUUCAUUUCUUACUAGUAGUCCAGGUUGGCCUUGAAUUCCUAGCAGUUUUCCUGUUUGAGCUCUUGGACUGGGGUUAUUGGUGUGAUCUAUCACACCUGGGUUCUCUUUUUAAUAUUUUAAUUGACAGUCAGGUUAUCCUAAACUGGCUUUUUUUGUCUUUUAAAGUCAACUUUGUGGGUUGUUUGUUUGUUUGUUUGUUUGUUUUUAAUGGUCUGAUGUAGCCCUUGCUGGCCUCAAAACCUUACUAUGCAGCUGAAGAUGGCCUUGAACUCUUGAUCUUGCUGCUUCUACCUCUGACGUUAGAGUGCCUUCAAAGUGUGAGUUGGGUCAUCAUACCCAGCUCUGUAGUGUGUCUUUACUGAGGAAGUCACUCUACAUACUCAGUGACAUCAUUAGCUGCUUUGCUCUUGUCUGACCAAACAAUGACUGACACCAGAGGAGAACAGUGUGGAUGCCUGUUACAUGCAGUACUGUUCUGUUUCCACUGUCCUUGGGACAAGCUCGCCUUCCCUGGACAUUCUAUUCUUGGCCCGCCUGAGGCACUUUUCACUAUCUGGGAAAGAGAAGGGGGCAUUCCAGUGACAUGACAGUUGAUGUGGAUACCCUAUUGUCCUAAGGGAGCAUGUCAUCAGGAAAAGGGUUUAGAGUUAGGAUGAAGAGUUCUCUGGAAGGCUCAUAAAAUCAUCUUUUUAGAAAGGUCAGAAUGUACUGUCAUAGUCAGCUAUUCAAAAGGAGUCUGCUGUUACUAGCAUUUGGUGGUAUAACAAGAGCAGAGACGGAAACUGGGAGAGGAUAAAAUGCUAAAGUGGAUACAGCAUAGAUAUAUUUCCCCAAACUUCUGGCCAUAGCCAGGUUGCUGGUGCCUGGUUAAAUUCAGAACUGCAAGUUCCAGCUAUGUGUGGUUAGGCCAGUAUCUAUGAAUGUUUUAUAUCCCAUGCCAUCCUAACCGGCCUCUCCCUCUAUGGGAUGUUUUCCACCUACUAGUUCUAAAUUAGUGUAAAAUUCUCACAGUCCGUCACAUGGGUAUUUAAGUGUGCUUAGGUCUUCUCUGCUUGAAAAUACUCUCAUUCUAUAGUCCACUCUAGAUCUCUAAUUGUCUCCUCUCCUCAAUAUCCUUUGUGAGUUUUGUUGUGCUUUGCUUUGUUUUCUAGGUAUCAUCAGCUGUAGACACCUAAGGACAUAAGAGUGCUCGGGAUUAUAAAGCUUGAGAAUGGCCUGUAGGGGGAGAAUAUAUAUGCCUUUUGAUUCUGGUCUCUUGCUGCUGUGGGGCACACAUCCCUUGUUAGCAGAUCAUGAGAUAGGUUUGCAGAGAGAUGCUAGAGAUCUGAGGAUUUAGAGUAGAGUCCUUCACUGUUGACAUAUUGGCAUUUAAUUUGGAUUUGUUUUGAUUUGUUUUGAGACAGGGUUUCUCUGUGUAGCCCUGAAUAUCCUUAAACUCACUCUGUAUAGCAGGCUGGCCUUGAACUUAGAUCCGCCUGUUUCUGCCUCCUGAGUGCUGGGAUCAGAGGCUUGAACCACCACUGCCCAGCUACUUCAGGACUCUUUGCAACAUGUGCUGAGAUCUUAUCUAAGUUUGAAGCUUAGAAUCAAGUCAAAUGCUAAGUAUUUGAUAAAAGGAGAUGUCUCUAUUCCAUAAGUUGUGCUCUACUUCUUAGGAUUCCUUUCUGGUCUGGUCACUUGCAGUUCUUUAGUUGUUUCUUG